UCUCGAGAGCUUCUCGUUAUGGUGGUGUCCCAACUUGAUUGCUGAGAUGCCUAGUGGAUUUGGCUAUCUUACCAGCUUAAGGAAUGUGGAGAUUGGCCCCUUCUCGGAUUACUCUGUAAUCGAAUUUGAUUGGGCUGGAUUAGCAUCUUCAUCAACACUCCGACACAUGUCUUUACGUGGAAUGCCUGACAUGAAAUCUCUGCCACAUCAGCUUCAAGACUUGACUACCAUCACAUCACUAUCUCUACGUGACUUCGGAGCAAUCGAAGCUUUACCAGAUUGGCUUGGGAACCUUGCGUCUCUUGAUGAGCUAAUCCUAUUCGGUUGCGAAAAGCUUGAAUAUUUACCCUCCAUGGCUGCCAUGGAACGCCUCAAAUUAAGACGUCUGGAAAUUGGUAAUUGUCCUCUAUUAACCGAAACAUGCACUCCUCAAAGCGGCUCCGAGUGGCCCAAGAUCUCUAAUAUUCAAGAGCUUGAAAUUGAUUAAAAGUCAUCUUUCCGAGCCAUCGGGCCACAAGUGUCAAUGAAGCAGCAAGCAGUGAUAGCGCCGAAACAUUGUGAAAGGCUCAAAAGUUUGCUUAAGGCAGAGUCAGCCUGGAACCUCUAGAGCAUCUUAUUGCACUUUUCGCAUUCUCCAACUGCAACAUCAGGUUGUGGUUUCGAAUCAUUUUUGAAGAAAGAUGAGGAGGUAUGUGGUUUGGAAAUUUCUCCACCCAACUUACUAGAAGUACAGGGGAAUUGGGCCUAAAUGUAGGGUGGUAUCUGCACUAAAUUUGUUUAGGAAGUAGAGAUCAUGCUUUUUGGACAAAGAACACCAACGUUCCCGUGUUGUUCUUAUGAGAAUGUCAAGAGGGAGGAGUUAUUUUCACUUAUCAGUCAGUUUUUGAAGAUGGAAGGUAGUUAUCUGUGAUUUUUCCCGCCAGAAUGCCAUAUAUUGCUCAGAAUAUGGAAAUGAAGCAUGCUGAAAACAGAGUGGCUUGUGCCAGGCUUGUAGAAAGUAGUAUGGAUUGAGAAGAAUUAGAGAAGAGCAUGGUAGCUGGUACUGGAGAGCUAUCAAGGUACAAGACUUGCUUGAAGAAAACUGGGCGUACUGAUACUUUAAUUCCAGAGGUGACAAGAUUUGAUGGAAAGAAGUUAGACAUUGUAGACAGCAUUGGUGAUCAUUUGGAUGACAUAAACGAAGCAUGCGAUUGCAGUGUCAGUCGUUCAUUUGGAUGGAAAUAGUUCAAAGUUUUGGUGCUGCAAUUGCAGCGGCAAGAAUUUCUACAUCCUCGUUCAAAGGUUCCCGCCAGAUCUUGCAAGGCCUUUGUAAAUUGGACAAUAGGUUAUACCUUUCCACUCAAGAACAAGAGAGACUCAUUAUACAACUGUGCUAACAGUUAGUCCUUCUAAGUACCAGGUACCUUCUUGGUUCUUAACUAAAUUAUUUUGACAUGUCUACUUCAAGAUAAAUAGUCACAAUCCAAAAAAUUGCAGUUUGAAUGAUCAAUAAACAGGUUUUGUUAUUGUAGCA